ensembl:lncRNA
AUGCGCAGUUGUAAGAAUCUCUUUAAUAUUAAUAUCGAUGACUGUAAUAACUAUUAUGAUUUUACUUUUUUAUUAAAAGAAUCUCAAAAUGGAAACAUAAAUGAAAAAAAAAAAAUAAAUAAAGAACAAACUAAGUCUGAUGAUGAUAAUAUCCGAAACAAAGAAGAAGAAUAUACGGAACAAAAUAUGCGAGAAAUAUGUGAUGAAGAGAACACACAUGAUGACAUAACUUGGGGGUGGCACAACACAUGUGUUGUUAUGUACCUAGGUAAAAUAACGUCAAGUCUAAAAAAGCAUAACAUGAUUAAUUUUAGUAAUGUAUAUUAUAUUAAAAAUAAUAUAUUAAAAUAUUUAAUCGAAGAAGUAAGAAAUGUUAUUACUAGUGGUCGUAACAGAAUGUGUCCUAAUUUGUCUUUAUAUAGAUUUUUAUUAAAUAAAAAAAAAGAGAAGUUGCUCAAAAUUUCACAAGAAGUUACAAAGGAGUGCUUAAAAAAAAUAAACAAUAAUAAAAAAAAAAAAGAAACAUAUUUUGUAUCAUUAAAUGUUAAAAAUAUAUUUUUUUUAAAUCAUUUUAUUAAAAAUAAAUGCAAUGAACUAAUUAAUUAUAUAAUACAUUUAUUUUUUAAUAAUGUUAAAAAUAUGAUUGGUUUUAAACACUUUAGUUUCCUUAAUAAAUUUUUUAUUAAUAUAAACCCAAAUUGUAAAGAAAAGUUGUUAACAAAAAAAUUAUAUAAAAAAGAAAAUAUAAAAAAUUAUGCAACAUAUAUUUAUGCUGAUAAUGAUUUAAAAAAACAAAAAAUUGUUCAAGCUAUGAUUCGAAAUUAUUUUAAUAUCAUAAUAAAUAAAGUAAAAGAAGAAUUAAUUUUAUUAUUCGCUAUAUACCUUAACAAAAUUGAAAAUAUGAAUUAUUUUUUUAAAUAUAAUAAUUUAAACAUAUAUAACGAUAAAGAACAAACAACAUAUGUAACACAGCGGAUGAAAAUCAUAAUAAAAAGGAAUAAUCUUCAAAAUAUUCAUUAUAAUAUAAUAAGAUUUCUUUCAAUGUUUCUUCUUUAUUUAUAUAUUUUUAUAAAUAUAGUAAAAAAUCGUAUCAAAUUAGAUACAUUUUUUAAUACUAAUCUAGUAAGUUAUGAUGAAUAUGCAAUUUUUUUCAAUUCAUUAAAUAGUAAAAAAAUAAAUAUUCAUAACAAUAAAUAUCGCAAAUAUAACAUUUUUUAUAAUCAUGAUAAAACUUUGUUUUUAUUCGCUUUUAAAAAAUUUAUUAAAAAAAUAAUUUUAUUAUCUAUUGAAAUUGAAAUGAGUGACAAUAGCAAUGAUUAUGUUGGUUAUAGCAACAGUGAAAACAGUAAUAAAAAACAACUCAGUAUGAACAAAAUUAUAAACACAUUUUUUAAAUUUUUAUUUAAAAUAAAAAAUGUGAAUGUAAUUUUAAAAAAAUUACGAGAAAAAUCGAUUAUAAAAAAAAACGUCCGAAAAAAACAAAAUGCUAUCAUCAGUUACUAUAAAUUCAGUUUAUAUCUUAUAACUGUUAAUUUUUUUACAAAGCAAUUCUUUUACAACACAAAUAUAAUUUCAUUUGUUGAUUAUUUUAAUUCUUUAAUUUAUGUUUAUUUAAACCAAGUACAUUAUUUAUCUAGUUCCUAUAAAGAUAAUUAUUCGAAUGUUCUUAAACUUUUUUUAAGUAAUUUUCUCCGAAACAAUUAUUAUAUAUAA